UACGGAGGGUGCAAGCGUUAAUCGGAAUUACUGGGCGUAAAGGGCGCGUAGGCGGUUGUAAAAGUAGGUUGUGAAAUCCCUGGGCUUAACCCAGGAACUGCAACUUAAACUGUAUGACUAGAGAUUAGUAGAGGGGGGUGGAAUUCCUGGUGUAGCGGUGAAAUGCGUAGAGAUCAGGAAGAACAUCAGUGGCGAAGGCGGCCCCCUGGGCUAUAUCUGACGCUGAGGCGCGAAAGCGUGGGGAGCAAACAGG
rnacentral:rRNA from 1 species